CCCUCACACAAGAAAAGCAAACCAACUUUUUCAAAAUGAACCCAUUAUAGACCAGCAGCAAGUGAAGCUUUGUUUAAGCUAACCUCUUUUGCUGUUUUUUUUUUUGGCACCCCACCCUUGACAAUAAAGAACAUUCUCCAAUAAACUAAGACAACUACUCUUUUACAAGUACCGACCUCACAUGAAUUGGAAAACUAACAACGGCCCAC